UAGCCAAAGCAAUGUCGCUUUGAUACCAGAAAGAAAGUGAGAUAGAAAGACGGAGCGACAGAAUGAGAGAGAAUUCAGAUGGAUGACAGUGUUUCAUCCCAUGUUUCAGCAAAUGUCUUAGUUUACCAGCUACAGAGUCAUCUCUUUGUCCUCUCUGUGGCUUUACAGGUCAAAGUUCAUAUUGCUCUGAUAAACUCCAUUCCAUUAGUCUGAUUGUGACCAACUGGCAAAGCUUGGCAGUGGAUAAAGUCCAGAGUGAAAAUAGAGGGAAGAGUCAUCUGCCUCCCGCGGUCUGCCAACGCACAGACCACCAUGGGAAGUGAGGGAGCGAAAAAGAAAGAGGAAGAAAAAGAUAACUGGAGAGAUUGGACAGUCGGGAGCUUUUGAAGAGAAGAAAGACAGAAUUCUGCCCCAAGUACAGCGAUAACGGACAUGGGGUCCCACUGGGGAAUGAGCCGGAGGGGUCUCUAUGAAAUAUGAAAGACAGUUUUAUCUGUUUGCAGAACAUGUGGACAGUGUAGACUGUUGUCCUUUCACCUGGAGCCAAGGCUCAUGAACUACAUGGUUGAGAGUGUUGGGAAAUCUGCAUCCUGUUUUACGGUUGGCAAACUUCUGUUGACUGAAUACAUCAGUUAAGAAUCUGAGGCUUUUUCAGGCCAUUUGUGGUUCUUUGUAUGGGAAAGGUAAAAUAAAGUGUGUGUUCCUGACAAUAUUUUGGUAGCAUAUACCAGUUCUAAACAAAAAUGAGAGAGAAUUGGAGAAAAACAUCAAUAGAUGGAUGAAUGAAUAGGUGAAGUGAGUCAGUGUACAGCUAUUCACUGUCCCUGUGCCCGUUUUGUCCUCUCUGCGCUAUUUGGAUAAAAUCUCUUUUAUCUCCGCUGGUGCCAGCCUCUGAUGCAUAAACACUCCAGAGUCAGACUGACUCCUUUUGCUUUGAUAGAGGGACAGAAAAAGAAAGGAAACAAAAACCGCAUUAGCGUUUCAGCAUCAGUAAGAACAUCCUGUGUCUGGCCUGUCGUUCAUUUCAUUUUACACUUCUUCAUUUCUCUUACACAGUUCAUUUCCUCCUUGAACUGAAGUCAUCAAUGCUCAUGUGCUUAUUUAAGAAUUUAUUGUAUCCUGUUGAUUUUCUGGUCAAGGAGUUUUUUUUCAUCAAAGUAUGUUAAUAAAUUUUUUUAGAUUAAAUAACAAUAUAUUUUAAUGUGUUUGGCAUUGUCACGAAAACUUAUGGGUCCCAGGACAUCAUUUUUAUGGACAUUUUAUAGGCAUCAGUAAGCACAGUAACAUUUUCUUGAGAAUAAAAAUAGCAUUUUUAUACAUAAAAGAUUUCAAUAUCAUUUUUAGAGAAUACACUACCGUUCAAAAGUUUGGGGUCGGUAAGACUGUUUAAUGUUUUUGAAAUAAGCAUCUUAUGCUCACCAAGGCUGCAGUUAUUUAAUCAAAAAUACAAUAAAUAUCUAAACGGUAAUAUUGUAAAAUGUCAUUACAAUUAUUUUAUUUUAUUAUUAUUAUUUAUUUUUUUAUUUUUUUAAAUGUUAUUAUUCCUGUAAUGGCAAAACUGAAUUUUCAGUAGUCAUUACCCCAGUCUUAAGUGAU